ACCCAAUACCACGUUGGAAUCACCGAUUCUCGUUCGAUCACCGAAAAAUUAGGCAACGCCGGUUCCGGUUAGUACUUGUAUGAGUGACCAGCUGGAAUGAUCAGAUGUUCUGGUU
rnacentral:rRNA from 1 species